rnacentral:rRNA from 1 species
AAGUAGCACAAUCAAUCGCCACUUAAUUGGUGGAUCGUAUGAAUGGCUUAACGAAAGUCUCACUGUCUCAAAUAUAAAAAGAAAAAAAAAUUGAAAUAAUAGUUAAGAUGCUAUUUAAAAUCGUAAGACGAUAAGACCCUAUAAAGCUUUACUGUUAGCACUUCUAAAGGAGAGUAAGACAGUUUACUUGGGGCAAGGGCUUCUUAAAAAGAUAAAAAGCAAACAAUUUAAUAAAAUUAUUUACUGUAUAAACAAUAAAUUUAACAGUUACUAAGUAGGUUAUAAUGACCCGUUAACCCUUAAAAAAAAGGUUUACAACUAAUAAAUAAAAGCUACUUUAGGGAUAACAGGAUAAUUCUAUUGGAGAGAAGACAUCAAAAAUGGAGUUUGUCACCUCGAUGUUGAAUUAGGAUUACCUAACGGAGCAAAAGCUGUUAAAGGUGGGUCUGUUCGACCCUUAAAUAUCUUACAUGAUU